UCGAGAAUCUUCGGCAAUGGGCGCAAGCCUGACCGAGCGACGCCGCGUGGAGGAAGAAGGCCCUCGGGUUGUAAACUCCUGUUGGGGGGAAUCAAUUCAAUGAGAGAACCCCUGAGGAAGCACGGGCUAAGUUCGUGCCAGCAGCCGCGGUAAGACGAACCGUGCGAACGUUAUUCGGAAUCACUGGGCUUAAAGCGCGCGUAGGCGGCGUCGUAAGUCAGGGGUGAAAUCCCAACGGCUCAACCGUGGAAUUGCCUUUGAUACUGCGAUGCUCGAGGGAGGUAGGGGCAAGUGGAACUUCCAGUGGAGCGGUGAAAUGUGUUGAGAUUGGAAGGAACGCCGGUGGCGAAAGCGACUUGCUGGAUCUCUUCUGACGCUGAGGCGCGAAAGCUAGGGUAGCGAAUGGGAUUAGAUACCCCCGUAGUCCCUGAGCGGGCUGGCAAGGCGCAU
rnacentral:rRNA from 1 species